AUUGAACGCUGGCGGCAGGCCUAACACAUGCAAGUCGAACGGUAACAGGAAGCAGCUUGCUGCUUCGCUGACGAGUGGCGGACGGGUGAGUAAUGUCUGGGAAGCUACCUGAUGGAGGGGGAUAACUACUGGAAACGGUAGCUAAUACCGCAUAAUGUCGCAAGACCAAAGAGGGGGACCUUCGGGCCUCUUGCCAUCGGAUGUGCCCGGAUGGGAUUAGCUUGUUGGUGGGGUAACGGCUCACCAAGGCGACGAUCCCUAGCUGGUCUGAGAGGAUGACCAGCCACACUGGAACUGAGACACGGUCCAGACUCCUACGGGAGGCAGCAGUGGGGAAUAUUGCACAAUGGGCGCAAGCCUGAUGCAGCCAUGCCGCGUGUAUGAAGAAGGCCUUCGGGUUGUAAAGUACUUUCAGCGGGGAGGAAGGGAGUAAAGUUAAUACCUUUGCUCAUUGACGUUACCCGCAGAAGAAGCACCGGCUAACUCCGUG
rnacentral:rRNA from 1 species